rnacentral:tRNA from 1 species
UGUAGCUCAGUGGUAGAGCAUGUGCUUUGCAUACACAAGUUCCUUAGUUCAAUUCCCAGCA